GAUGAACGCUGGCGGCGUGCCUAAUACAUGCAAGUCGAGCGAACAGACGAGGAGCUUGCUCCUCUGACGUUAGCGGCGGACGGGUGAGUAACACGUGGAUAACCUACCUAUAAGACUGGGAUAACUUCGGGAAACCGGAGCUAAUACCGGAUAAUAUAUUGAACCGCAUGGUUCAAUAGUGAAAGACGGUUUUGCUGUCACUUAUAGAUGGAUCCGCGCCGCAUUAGCUAGUUGGUAAGGUAACGGCUUACCACGGCAACGAUGCGUAGCCGACCUGAGAGCGAGAUCGGCUACCUGGUAUCUGAGACUGGGCCCACACUCCGACGCGAGGCAGCAGUAGGGACUCCUCCGCAAUGGGCGAAUGCCUGACGGUGCGACGCCGCGUGAGUCAUGAAGGUCUCCGGACCGUAAAACGCUGUUAGUAUUGAAGAACAAAUGUGUAAGUAACUAUGCACGUCUUGACGGUACCUGGUCAGAAAGCCCCGGCUAACUACGUG
rnacentral:rRNA from 1 species